AGUGCCUAAGGCAGUUUACAACAUGAAAACAGUCAAAUACAACAGACAACAGACAAACAAUAAGUUUCAGAUUACCAGUCAUUAAAGUAGAGAACUGAACCAGGAGCAACUGCUGUGUACUGCCUCUUUAAGAGAAAAAUCCAGAACCCCUCAGGAUGAGAAGGCUAGAUGAGUAAACUAAUGGGCUUCGCCUUAUUGCAGUAGAAACCUGUCUGUGCGAGCAGUUAGGUCUGUAUAGUGAACAAUCCUAGGCCCAGAUGCAGUAGAACCUAAGGACAGUUGCUUAGAUAAGCUGUGCUCUCUGUCUGAGCAAGCUGGAAGAGAUGGUGCAGCAUGCCAGUGGCACACACACAGUUCUGAAUGGAGGAGGGGAGAAGUGGCUGAUGUGUUGGGCAACUGGAGAUGGGGCUGCCGGCCCAGAGGGUCAAACAUAGCCCUCCUCCAAGACCUCAAGCUAAAAACCUGAAGUCCGCCAACUGUACAGUAGCUCAUUGUGUUGUGCAUUACACUCUAGAUUUAAGCAUGGCGAUUUUCUCAAGGUCAUGGCACAAUCAAAAUUUUCUGUUACAGUAGUUACUCCAAGUGAGGCACAACUGGAGAUUUUGAAAGAUGAGAGAGAAACACUGUUCAGCUUCUUAAGUGAUAAUAUUUUGACUUAAUAAUCUGAUUUGAAGACUUUCCUUUCCCAGCCUAUAAGAAUGUUGGGUUUAUCCUAGUACAAAGAACAACAUUUUAUUAUUUGUCAGGGAUGCAAUAAUCCUCCCUAACAAGAAGGAGAAACAAACCACCUUUAACUAUGCCCAACCUUCUCUUGGAUGGAGCAGUUCCCUAACUUCAAGCAUAUGUGUGAAUUUCAAAGUUUUCUCUUUCCUUAUCACUACUGAUGUCUGUUUAUUGAAUCUGUUUUGUAACUCUAAAUGAGACGUGUAUUCUUUUAAAAAUCCGAGGAUGCAUCCACUUAGUAAAAAAAGAAAGUUUUUAUUAGAG